rnacentral:rRNA from 1 species
CCUACGGGGGGCAGCAGUGGGGAAUAUUGGACAAUGGGGGGAACCCUGAUCCAGCCAUGCCGCGUGUGUGAAGAAGGCCCUCGGGUUGUAAAGCACUUUCAGUGAGGAAGAACGCCUGGUGGUUAAUACCCAUCAGGAAAGACAUCACUCACAGAAGAAGCACCGGCUAACUCCGUGCCAGCAGCCGCGGUAAUACGGAGGGUGCGAGCGUUAAUCGGAAUUACUGGGCGUAAAGCGCGCGUAGGUGGCUUGAUAAGCCGGUUGUGAAAGCCCCGGGCUCAACCUGGGAACGGCAUCCGGAACUGUCAAGCUAGAGUGCAGGAGAGGAAGGUAGAAUUCACGGUGUAGCGGUGAAAUGCGUAGAGAUCGGGAGGAAUACCAGUGGCGAAGGCGGCCUUCUGGACUAACACUGACACUGAGGUGCGAAAGCGUGGGUAGCAAACAGGAUUAGAUACCCCUGUAGUC